rnacentral:rRNA from 1 species
CUUGGCUUGCAGAGGCGAUGAAGGACGUGAUAAGCUGCGAUAAGCUACGAGGAGGUGCACAUAACCUUUGAUUCGUAGAUUUCCGAAUGGGGCAACCCGGCUGGUUGAAGACCAGUCACCUUUUAAGGAGCAAACCCGGAGAACUGAAACAUCUAAGUACCCGGAGGAAGAGAAAAUAAUUAAUGAUUCCGAUAGUAGCGGCGAGCGAAAUCGGAUUAGCCCAAACCAAUUCUGUUUCGGCAGAGUUGGGGUUGUAGGACCACGACAUGAAAUGUUCCACGAAUAAGAAUCAACUGGAAAGUUGAACCGUAGAGGGUGAUAGUCCCGUAUUGGUAAGUGCGAAUAAUUUCUAGUGGUAUCCUGAGUAGGGCGGGACAUGUGAAAUCCUGUCUGAAUCUACCAGAACCAUCUGGUAAGGCUAAAUACUCCUGCAAGACCGAUAGCGUACUAGUACCGUGAGGGAAAGGUGAAAAGUACCCUGAAUAAGGGAGUGAAAUAGAACCUGAAACCGUUUGCUUACAAGCGGUCGGAGCAUCAUAAGAUGUGACGGCGUGCCUUUUGCAUAAUGAUCCUACGAGUUACUCGUCACUAGCAAGGUUAAGGACUUCAGGUCCGCAGCCGAAGCGAAAGCAAGUUUGAAUAGAGCGUAUAGUUAGUGGCGGUAGACGCGAAACCGAGUGAUCUACCCAUGGGCAGGUUGAAGCUUUGGUAACACAGAGUGGAGGACCGAACCGGUUGACGUUGAAAAGUCUUCGGAUGACCUGUGGGUAGGGGUGAAAGGCCAAUCAAACUCGGAAAUAGCUCGUUCUCCCCGAAAUGUAUUUAGGUACAGCGUCGUGGUAAAGAGUAGUAGAGGUAGAGCUACUGGUUGGAUGCGGGGGCUUCAUCGCCUACCAAAUCCUGUCAAACUCCGAAUGCUACUACUUGUUUCACGGCAGUGAGGGCAUGGGUGCUAAGGUCCAUGUCCGAGAGGGAAAGAACCCAGACCAUCUGCUAAGGUCCCCAAAUGUAUACUAAGUUGAUCAAACGUGGUCAGACUGCUUAGACAGCUAGGAUGUUGGCUUGGAAGCAGCCAUUCAUUUAAAGAGUGCGUAACAGCUCACUAGUCGAGCGGUCAGGCGUGGAUAAUAAUCGGGCAUAAGUAUACUACCGAAGCAAUGGACAUGAAAAUGUGGUAGGGGAGCAUUCUAGUUGCGCCGAAGGUAAACUGCGAGGUUUGCUGGAGCGGCUAGAAAAGAAAAUGUAGGAAUGAGUAACGAUAAAGCGGGUGAGAAACCCGCUCGCCGAAAAUCUAAGGUUUCCUCAGCUAUGCUAAUCAGCUGAGGGUUAGUCGCGACCUAAGGCGAACCCGAACGGGGUAGUCGAUGGACAACAGGUUAAUAUUCCUGUACUUGUUUAUACUGUGAUGGGGUGACGAUGUACUGAAAGCACCGCGCACUGACGGAAUAGUGCGUUAAAGACUGUAUCUAUAGGACCUGUAGGCAAAUCCGCAGGACCUGGAGAAGGUCGAUAGUACCAAGAGUCUUCGGACAAUUGGAUAGUGUGCCUAAAAUCAUCCAAGAAAAACCUCUAAACUUCAGGUAUAAACAACGCGUACCGUAAACCGACACAGGUAGAUGGGAUGAGAAUUCUAAGGCGCUCGAGUGAUUCAUGGCUAAGGAACUAGGCAAAAUAGUCCUGUAACUUCGGGAGAAAGGACGCCCCCUUAUGGGGGGCCGCAGUGAAUAGGCCCAGGCGACUGUUUAUCAAAAACACAGGACUCUGCUAAAUCGAAAGAUGAUGUAUAGGGUCUGACACCUGCCCGGUGCUGGAAGGUUAAAAGGAGAUGUUAGCUUCGGCGAAGCAUUGAAUUGAAGCCCCAGUAAACGGCGGCCGUAACUAUAACGGUCCUAAGGUAGCGAAAUUCCUUGUCGGGUAAGUUCCGACCUGCACGAAUGGUGUAACGAUCUGGGCACUGUCUCAGCCAUGAGCUCGGUGAAAUUGUAGUAUCGGUGAAGAUGCCGAUUACCCGCAGCGGGACGAAAAGACCCCGUGAACCUUCACUACAACUUUGUAUUGACAUUGGACAAGAGAUGUGUAGGAUAGGUGGGAGACUUUGAAGCGUUGUCGCUAGGCAGCGUGGAGUCAACCUUGAAAUACCACCCUUCGCUUGUUUGAUGCCUAACCCCGCAAGGGGAACAGUGCAUGGUGGGUAGUUUGACUGGGGUGGUCGCCUCCAAAAGAGUAACG